rnacentral:lncRNA from 1 species
AGAGGCCAUUUGAGGAAAGAGAACAACGAAACUCAGAGAGCUCAGAGCGUUGCCCGAGAUUACACCACUAGUAGAAAGGAGCUGAGGUUCGAGCCCACACCCGGAAGGCUCAAUAAGCCCCCGGUUCGCCUAACUCAGACUGGCAGUGCCAGGGCCCCAGGGUUCUCCGCCGACGCGCACCCUGGUCGCGCCAGGCCACGCUUCGCGGCCGCCGCCACCUUCCCAGCAAAGCUACCGAGCGGGGGUCGCGGGUUGCAAGCACCACCCGCUCCGUUCCGCCCCGCCCCGCCGCGCGCGUGGGAACGCGGCGCCCUCCCUGGGGCUGCCCACGACGACCGCCUGCGCGCACCGGGGACGGCUUCCACUGCCCCCGCCCUGGCCUCCUCCCAGCUGCCGCCAUCUCCUCCCCGCCUCCGCCUCCCCGCCGCCGGGCGCACACAGGGGCGGGCGCCCGGGGAGUGCGCCGCGAUUCUUCUCUUUUCCGUCCGGCACCGCGGCGGCCACCUCACAUCCGGGCGCGCGGCAGCGCAGGCGGCGCUGGGGCCGGGGUGCGUGGAGGGAGUUAUUAAGGGGGAGUGGGCCGAGGAGGAGGGGCGGAGGGCUGGGCCGCGGUUACGGCGGCUGAAGAGAGACAGCUCGAGCGGGUGGGGGGGCGAGAGCGGAGGCCGCGCGGAGCAGACCUCGGACCGGCACGGGUGGCGGGGAGGGGAGCGGCGACAGAGGCACCGAGUAAGGGCCUGGCGGCAGCGGCGACAGAAUCCGAGGGACCGCGCGCCAGGGCCCGCAGGGAGAGAAGGGGCGCGGGCGCGCUGCUCCCGGGGUCGCGUGCGUGAGCGCGAGCGCUGGGGCGCGCGCGCGAGGUGGGCAGGGGCGCGAGGCCGGCGGGCAGCGGGCGGGCUGGCGGGGCCCGAGCCGCCGGGCUGGGGCGGACGGCGGUGGGCCUGCGCCGGCUCCAGCUCGGAGCGCCCGGGCCGGGGGAUUCGGCCUCUCCGCUCCCUCCAACCUACCUCCCCUCCGUGA